ACGGCUCAGUAACACGUGGACAACCUACCCAAGAGUCCGGGAUAACCCCGGGAAACUGGGGAUAAUACCGGAUAGGUCAGACUUGCUGGAAGGCUGUUUGGCUGAAACUUCCGGGGCUUUUGGAUGGGUCUGCGGCUGAUUAGGUUGUUGCCGGUGUAACGUACCGUCAAGCCUGUAAUCAGUACGGGUUGUGGGAGCAAGAGCCCGGAGAUGGAUUCUGAGACACGAAUCCAGGCCCUACGGGGCGCAGCAGGCGCGAAAACUCUACAAUGCAGGCAACUGCGAUAGGGGAACAUCGAGUGAUCCUCAUAUUGGGGGUCUGUCCACCCGCCUAAAAAGCGGGUGUUAGCAAGGGCCGGGCAAGACCGGUGCCAGCCGCCGCGGUAAUACCGGCGGCUCGAGUGGUGGCCGAUAUUAUUGAGUCUAAAGGGUCCGUAGCCGGCUUUGCAAGUCUCUCGGGAAAUCCAGCGGCUUAACCGUUGGUCGUCCGGGGGGUACUACAUUGCUUGGGACUGGGAGAGGUAGGAGGUACUCAGGGGGUAGGAGUGAAAUCCUGUAAUCCUUUGGGGACCACCGGUGGCGAAGGCGUCCUACCAGAACAGGUCCGACGGUGAGGGACGAAAGCUAGGGGCACGAACCGGAUUAGAUACCCGGGUAGUCCUAGCCGUAAACGAUGCUCGCUAGGUGUCACAACAGUCGUGAACUGUUGUGGUGCCGUAGGGAAGCCGUGAAGCGAGCCACUUGGGAAGUACGACCGCAAGGUUGAAACUUAAAGGAAUUGGCGGGGGAGCAC
rnacentral:rRNA from 1 species